GUACACUCCUACGGGAGGCAGCAGUGGGGAAUAUUGGACAAUGGGCGCAAGCCUGAUCCAGCCAUGCCGCGUGAGUGAUGAAGGCCCUAGGGUUGUAAAGCUCUUUCACCGGUGAAGAUAAUGACGGUAACCGGAGAAGAAGCCCCGGCUAACUUCGUGCCAGCAGCCGCGGUAAUACGAAGGGGGCUAGCGUUGUUCGGAUUUACUGGGCGUAAAGCGCACGUAGGCGGACUAUUAAGUCAGGGGUGAAAUCCCGGGGCUCAACCCCGGAACUGCCUUUGAUACUGGUAGUCUUGAGUUCGAGAGAGGUGAGUGGAAUUCCGAGUGUAGAGGUGAAAUUCGUAGAUAUUCGGAGGAACACCAGUGGCGAAGGCGGCUCACUGGCUCGAUACUGACGCUGAGGUGCGAAAGCGUGGGGAGCAAACAGGAUUAGAAACCCCUGUAGUCCCA
rnacentral:rRNA from 1 species